UACGGGGGGAGCAAGCGUUGUUCGGAUUUACUGGGCGUAAAGGGCGCGUAGGCGGUCGUGACAAGUCACUUGUGAAAUCUCCGGGCUUAACUCGGAACGGUCAAGUGAUACUGUCGGACUAGAGUACAGAAGGGGCAACUGGAAUUCUCGGUGUAGCGGUGAAAUGCGCAGAUAUCAGGAGGAACACCAAUGGCGAAGGCAGCACUCUGGGACGUGACUGACGCUGAGGAGCGAAAGCGUGGGUAGCAAACAGG
rnacentral:rRNA from 1 species